rnacentral:rRNA from 1 species
GGAUACGGCCAUACUGCGCAGAAAGCACCGCUUCCCAUCCGAACAGCGAAGUUAAGCUGCGCCAGGCGGUGUUAGUACUGGGGUGGGCGACCACCCGGGAAUCCACCGUGUCGUAUCCCCUC